AUGAGCUUGGGUUGCCAGAAAAAGUGCUCCAUCGCCUUUCAUUGUUGCAUCUGUUGUAUUAAUACUGACUGGUGCUACACAAGUUCCGAGAGCUGCGAUAGAAACUGCCCGGAUCUCUUCUCGCAUUCUAAUGAAAUGCUAGCCGCGGCGACGGUGACCCCUGAAACUGUGCUGACCAGGUCUGCAGUACGCACGGAUGGCUUGAUGCAAGGCCUCGUCCCAAAUGAGUUCGGCAAUUGUCGUGUGUAG
rnacentral:rRNA from 1 species